rnacentral:rRNA from 1 species
GACGAACGCUGGCGGCGUGCCUAAUACAUGCAAGUAGAACGCACAGUUUAUACCGUAGCUUGCUACACCAUAGACUGUGAGUUGCGAACGGGUGAGUAACGCGUAGGUAACCUGCCUGGUAGCGGGGGAUAACUAUUGGAAACGAUAGCUAAUACCGCAUAAUAUUAAUUAUUGCAUGAUAAUUAAUUGAAAGGUGCAAUUGCACCACUACCAGAUGGACCUGCGUUGUAUUAGCUAGUAGGUGAGGUAACGGCUCACCUAGGCGACGAUACAUAGCCGACCUGCGAGGGUGAUCGGCCACCCUGGGACUGGGACACGGCCCAGACUCCUACGGGAGGCAGCAGUAGGGAAUCUUCGGCAAUGGACGAAAGUCUGACCGAGCAACGCCGCGUGAGUGAAGAAGGUUUUCGGAUCGUAAAGCUCUGUUGUAAGAGAAGAACGGGUGUGAGAGUGGAAAGUUCACACUGUGACGGUAUCUUACCAGAAAGGGACGGCUAACUACGUG